ensembl:lncRNA novel transcript
AGUCCAGCAGACAUCAACACUGAGAAAGUGAACUAAACGAAAAAAAAAAAAAGAGAGAAAAGGAGCUGGAUGCUAUCAUAUGCUGAGAGAAAGGAAUUUACCUCCACCAACCUAUAGAAUUGAGGAUAUGAAGAAAAAAGAGACAGAGAGGAGGUCACUUGGCUGGAAACUGAUGGUGGCUGGAUAUAAAGACUGGAGAAGGCAAGAGUCAAAGCUGAUUUUUUGUUUCUGCCUUGGUGAAUGGUUUUCUGUUAACUGAGAUGGGGAAUGGCAGAGAAGCUGGUUUGGGGAAAUUUGGGAAGAGAUAACGAGGUUUCAUUCAAAUUCAUUGAAUGUGACAUACAUGUCUUAAGACACUCAGGUGGCAACCUCCUGACAAAGACUCAGGAGGGAGUUGAGAGCUGGAGUUAUAAUUGAGAGUGGGAAGAACACAGGUUCUGGUAAAUCGUGAGAGAGACUGGAGAUUUCUUAUUAAGAGCACAUGAAUGCUUGAGAUAGAAAACUGACAGCUGUGUGAAAGAAGCGGAGCCAAUGGGUAACC